CGUGGGAUCUGUACUUAAAUGUCGUUAAAUAUUAUUGAGCAAUGCUUUUUGACAUACGGGAUUCUAGUUUUUACAUCCUGUUUGACAAGGUUACGAGAUCAUAAUAAGCUGAAAUAGCCUGUGUUCAUCGAAUUCUCCUAUAAAUUAACCAUGGCCGAAAAUAAUCUACCCAAUCAGUAUGCUGGGGAUUAUGGUUACGAUCAAGCUGGCGAUAAACGACCAAUUGAUCACCUGACACAAGUCCAAGGUGUUACCGGAGUCAGUACCAACACCGUCCCAGCACCCCAGUCCAGUCCUAACUAUGGUUAUGAUCAGCCAGGGAUGAACGCACCACCACCACCAUAUUCCCCAAAUAAAGCCUACCAACCACCGUAUGGCCCUGGUCAGUAUGGCCAGUAUGGCCCCGGGCAACAAGCUCCUACGAGUAUUAACAAUGUGAAUGUUGUGGUCUCAAAUCAACCCGCCACAUCUGCUAUUAUAGUGACAUCAGCUCCACGUGAUUAUAUGGGUCUGUCAGUAUUUACGUGCUUGUGUUGUUUCUGCCCACUGGGACUAGCUGCAAUGAUAUACUCCUUUAGGUCCGCAACUGCUACCCGAGAUGGUGACUUUAUUCGUGCAAGAUCAGAAGCAGCAACAGCAAGAAACUUAUCUUUCGCUGCCAUAGUUGUUGGAAUCAUCGGCGGUAUAAUAUAUGCCGUUCUCAUCACGAAGUUUCAUGACAAUUAUAAAACUAACUAUUAUUACAAUGAUUAUAAUAAUGGAGAGUAAUUGACAUUUGAUUUUAAUAAGAUUGUAAUUAUAACUUAGUUGAUGCUGUACAUUUCAUAAUAAUUGUCUUUGAUUUUAAUUAUAGCUAUUAUAAUGAUGAUAUUCAUGAUUGCUUUUGAAUUUAAUUAUAGUUAUUAUAACGAUGAUAUUCAUAGUUAUUUUAAUGAUAAUGUUCAGUAGUUUUAUUUAUGUUAACUAGACAGCCCAUGCCUAAUAACUAUAUCCAUUUUAAGAUGUUAGUAUAGAAUUCAGUCCCUCUUUGAUUCGCCAUAUUAAGUAUCACUGGCUUUAAAUCUUUGUGUAUGAGUCCUGAUUUUAUAUCACCACAUAAAGUCUGUAGUCCAGACUUUAUCCAGUUAACAUAUUUCCCCAUUGCCUUCAUAAUUAAUAAUUAAUUAACUCACCUUUUCACAACGUAAUUAGAACAGAUUUAACAGAUUUCACAAUUUCGUACUCACUCACAAUUUCGCACUAACAUUUUUUUCUUUAAAUGGAUAAGUGUACUAAUGUGCUUUUUGUUUGUAUUUUUCUCUUGUUGGGAGAUUAAAAUGAUUUCGUUUGUUUGCGAGACUCAACACCGCUUCCACCGAGGCUGAUAGCACAGUUAAAAUUAUAAUGUGUAAAACAUUCUUUAAUCUAGCUUAAUUUACAAUACCUUGUCCAUGGUGUAAUGGUAUUGCUUAUAAAUAUGAAUGAUAUGUUUAAACAGAUCUACAGGAUAGAGGUCCAUUUGUUAUAUAACCCACGUUUUUUUGGUUGGGCUUUAUAAAUAAACAAUUUCUUAAUUAUUGUUAAAACCAAUACAUUGAAACCUAUUGGAUUGUAACUGUUGUUAUUACACAGCAAAUUCAGUUGUAGAGACAUUUAUAACUGGAAUUAUUUUAUUUUAUAUGUUAUUAAUAUACAUGUUUCCAGAGCUUGGCUUUUAAUAAAAUAAUUAUAAUUAA